GUUCCAGACUCCUACGGGAGGCAGCAGUCGGGAAUAUUGCACAAUGGAGGAAACUCUGAUGCAGUGACACCGCGUAUAGGAAGAAGGUUUUCGGAUUGUAAACUAUUUUAGACAGGGAAGAAAAAAGACAGUACCUGUAGAAUAAGCCCCGGCUAACUACGUGCCAGCAGCCGCGGUAAUACGUAGGGGGCAAGCGUUAUCCGGAUUUACUGGGUAUAAAGGGAGCGUAGACGGCAAUGCAAGCCAGAUGUGAAAGCCCGGGGCUCAACCCCGGGACUGCAUUUGGAACUGUGUAGCUGGAGUGUCGGAGAGGCAGGCGGAAUUCCUAGUGUAGCGGUGAAAUGCGUAGAUAUUAGGAGGGACACCAGUGGCGAAGGCGGCCUGCUGGACGAUGACUGACGUUGAGGCUCGAAAGCGUGGGGAGCAAACAGGAUUAGAUACCCGCGUAU
rnacentral:rRNA from 1 species